AUCUUAUCCAGAGUGGCUGAGGGAAGGGCCCUAUGACGCCACAGCAACCGGUCCACCGUUUUGGUGGACGCUGGUGCUAACUCCUGCCGAGCGCCCGUUCGGGCGAGAC
rnacentral:ncRNA from 2 species